rnacentral:rRNA from 1 species
GAUGAACGCUGGCGGCGUGCUUAACACAUGCAAGUCGAACGAUGAAAGCGGGAGCUUGCUCCUGCUGGAUUAGUGGCGAACGGGUGAGUAACACGUGAGCAAUCUGCCCCGAACCCUGGGAUAAGCGUUGGAAACGACGUCUAAUACCGGAUACGACGCGCGAAGGCAUCUUCUGCGCGUGGAAAGAAUUUCGGUUCGGGAUGAGCUCGCGGCCUAUCAGCUAGUUGGUGAGGUAACGGCUCACCAAGGCGACGACGGGUAGCCGGCCUGAGAGGGUGACCGGCCACACUGGGAGUGAGACACGGCCAAGACUCCGACGGGAGGCAGCAGUGGGGAAUAUUGCACAAUAGGCGCAAGCCUGAUGCAGCAACGCCGCGUGAGGGACGACGGUCUUCGGGUUGUAAACCUCUUUUAGUAGGGAAGAAGCGAAAGUGACGGUACCUGCAGAAAAAGCACCGGCUAACUACGUGCCAGCCGCCGCAGAAACAC